GCUACAUUCAAAAGCCGUACUAGAGUAAAUCCUCGCAAAAGAAGAAGUAGAAGUGAUGCAUGGAGAACAAACGAAAAGUAUGACGGAAUCUACACCGUUUUCGAGCUCAGUUCCCAAGUGAUAUUGUGAAUAAUCAUACGACCGUGUUCGCAUGUGGCAAUCGAAAUCAAGCAGAAUCUUUAAACCAUUGAAAACAAAGUGCUAUAGCUACUCAAAGUGCCCUAGUUAUGAUUCAACUGGAGUUUUGGUGAAUCUGCCAAGGAAGAGAUAAGGAGUGAUUGCAACAAAAGCAUCGGUUGUAUCAGCGAGCCAAAUGCUAGGGGUAAUUCUCUAGCCUAUUGAAGCACAGCGCAUUUGCCACAGCAUAAACUCAGACCAGAACGGUGCUUCUUAGCUUUUGUGAUUUGUAACGUACUAUUGGCUAUAUUUCCGAGUCUAACGUAAUUUGGUUCAUCGAUCCAGUGACAUAGGCAGCAACGUUGAGUGCAGAUAUUUCUACAGCAAAAUAUUGUGCGACAUACUACUUCCCCAAAACUUACUAUCCGGAAGAUCGUGAGCAUCGUAAAUUGUUUAAACUUCAAUAAUACAUAAGCACAAGUAGCUGAAGUUUUUUUACGUAACUAUAGAGGAGAUGGAGAGAUUAAAAAAAAAAAUCUUAAAAGGAUGACCAUAAAUCAGUCUCCGAACAAAAAGCAUCAUCUUCGGGAUAA